rnacentral:rRNA from 1 species
UACGUAGGGGGCAAGCGUUGUCCGGAAUCAUUGGGCGUAAAGCGCGUGUAGGCGGUUCGGUAAGUCUGCUGUGAAAGUCCAGGGCUCAACCCUGGGAUGCCGGUGGAUACUGUCGGGCUCGAGUCCGGAAGAGGAGUGUGGAAUUCCUGGUGUAGCGGUGAAAUGCGCAGAUAUCAGGAGGAACACCGGUGGCGAAGGCGGGUCUCUGGGCAAUAACUGACGCUGAGGAGCGAAAGCGUGGGGAGCGAACAGG